UAGAAAGGCAAACUUUCUGAAAGGAAAGGACGCAAAGCCGUGGGUCUAAAGACUGAAAAUGUCCAUGACUGCCUGGUUGCCAA
rnacentral:ncRNA from 1 species